GGUUUACGCGAAUAAUUUUAUUUUGAAAUUCAGUGACCGGAUGCGCAGCAAAUGUUUGUCGCUGCAUUGUUUGGCGGACGGCAUUUCUUUCGGACCAGCGGAGUGUUCGAAACCAGACAAAGUUUAUUUAGCUAUUUUUGUGCUUCAGAGUGGCUCUAUUUGAGCAAAAUUGCACAUGCGUAUUGUGGAAGCAGGAUUAUCUGUAAGAUACAGUUAGCUUGACCAUUCGGCAGUUUGCGACCUGGACAACAUGGCUGCUUGAAUAACCUGUGUGUGUAACUACGUUUGCUGGGCAGAAACUGUUCGUAAAGUUGUCUGAAAGCUGAAAUUAGCCCUUUUAAAAAUAUUUUUAUAUAACUGAGCCAUCUUUCUUCGUCGUGGACAACAAUGAGCAGCAUCAAGGAGGAAACUCGAAGUGUGUCCCCUCAGUGCCCCAAACCAGAUGAAUCUGAGGAGCCCCACGGUACGGCCAUGGAGACCGCUGGGGGUCAGGCAGACGGGAGCGUGAAGUCGGAGAACAUUCCCGAGGUGGUCAUUACCAAGGAGAUGGAGGAGGAAGAGAACCAGCUGAUGGAGGAAGGGGAGCGAAAAGAGAAGGAAAUGAUGAAGAAGGCACAGGAAUCAUUUAAGAGGGACUCACAGGAUGUGCGCAUCAAGAGACUCCAGCAUCUGCUCCAGAAAAGCAACAUCUACUCUAAAUUCCUGCUGACAAAGAUGGAGCAGCAGCAGAAUGAGGAGAAACUCAAGAAGGAGAGGCUGGAGAAAAAGGCCAUGAAGGCUGGCAGUGGUACAGAGACCCGGACAGAUGCGAAGAAGAAGAAAAGGAGGAGGGAUGAAGACUUUAAAAUAGCUGAUGUUAUGACAAAAGAAGAAAUCAUGUCUCAAGCAAAGAGAUCAAAAGUGGAGAAAGGGAAUGACGCUCCGGCUCAGAAGAAACUCGACGCAGAGGAUAUUGAAAAAAUGAGCGAUUCCAACGAGGAAAUCAAGAGCCGGCUGUCGGAGACGGUGCGAGAGAACGCCAAGCAUCUCCUGGACCCCGACAGGAAGGUGAACGGGCAGCCUGUCCCCGUCCAGCAGCCCCAGCUGUUCACAGGCGGAGUGAUGAGGUGGUACCAGAUCGAAGGCGUGGAGUGGCUGAGGAUGCUGUGGGAGAACGGCAUCAAUGGCAUCCUGGCUGACGAGAUGGGGCUGGGGAAGACCAUACAGUGCAUUGCCCACAUCGCUAUGAUGGUAGAGAAGAAGGUGAUGGGCCCCUUCCUGGUGGUGGCUCCUCUCUCCACAGUACCAAACUGGAUCAGCGAGUUUAAGCGCUUUGCACCAGAGAUAUCAGUGAUGCUUUAUCACGGCACUCCGCCAGAGAGGUCCAAGCUGCUGAAGCAGGUCCGCAGGGCUCAGGGGCCCCUCAACAUGUUUCCUGUUGUCAUCACUUCCUUCGAGAUCUCCAUGAUUGACAGAAAGUUUCUGCAGCAUGUCCAGUGGAAGUACCUGAUAGUGGACGAGGGCCACAGGAUCAAGAACCUCAACUGUCGGCUGGUGCGCGAGCUGAAAAUGCUGCCCACCGACAAUAAGCUGCUGCUGACUGGUACACCGCUGCAGAACAACCUGGCUGAGCUCUGGUCCCUCCUCAACUUCCUCCUCCCAGAGGUCUUUGAUGACCUGAAGAGCUUUGAGUCCUGGUUUGACAUCAACUCCCUUGGUGAGGGUGAUGACGUGGUAGUGGCAGAACGGGAGCAGAACAUCCUGAGCAUGCUGCACCAGGUGAGACGGGGCGAGAGAGAAGAAGAAGGGGGGCAAAGGAAGGCGUAUCCUUCAUCGUUUCCAUGUUUUCUGUCUCAGAUUCUGACUCCAUUCCUCCUGAGGAGGCUGAAGACAGAUGUGACUCUUGAGGUUCCUCCCAAGAAGGAGAUCAUAGUGUACGCCCCCCUGACCACCAAGCAGGAGACCCUUUACAGCGCAGUUGUCAACAAGACCAUAGAGAAGGUUCUGGGAAAGGAGAAGAAAGAGGCUCCUGUGCCGGUGACACCAGAUGGCAGACCAAAACGUCGCACCCGUAGAUCGGUGGACUACAGUGAGACAGAGAGCGACAAACAGGAGGCCCUGAUGAAGUACCUGGAGAGAGUCCGUAAGGAGGCCGAGAACAGCCCCUCGCCACCGGUGCUGGACAUUUCCACCCCGCCGGACGCUGACAUCACGUUGAAGUUGCAGAGCGUGCUGAUGCUGCUGAAGAGGUGCUGUAACCACCCGUACCUGGUGGAGUACCCCCUGGACCCAGUUACACAGCAGUUUAAGAUUGAUGAGCAGCUGGUUCAGACCUCAGGAAAGUUUCUCAUACUGGACAGGCUGCUGCCUGCUCUGAAGAACAGAGGACACAAGGUUCUGAUCUUCAGCCAGAUGACGUCCAUCUUGGAUAUUCUGAUGGACUAUUGCUACCUCCGAGAUUUCCGAUACAGCCGGUUAGAUGGCAGCAUGUCGUACACAAAAAGAGAUGAGAACAUCAAAAAGUUUUUCAAUGACCCAGAGGUGUUCAUCUUUCUGCUGAGUACCAGGGCAGGAGGACUUGGAAUCAACUUGACAGCAGCUGACACAGUUAUCAUCUUUGACAGUGAUUGGAACCCUCAGGCGGACCUGCAGGCUCAGGACCGCUGCCACCGCAUUGGACAAACCAAACCCGUUGUGGUGUACCGGCUAGUGACGGCUAACACCGUUGACCAGAAGAUUCUGGAGCGAGCGACGGCCAAGAGGAAGCUGGAACAGAUGGUUAUCCACAAGAAAAAGUUCAAAGGUGGGAAGGCAGAGCUGAAUCAAAGCAAGAGCUGCAUCGAUCUGGACGAGCUGCGGGACCUGCUGCAGGCCAGAGGUCCUGAGAAGGAGGUGAAAUCCUCACAGGGAAUGGUGAUCAGUGACAAGGAUCUGGAGAUCCUGCUGGAUCGCAGCGACUUGCUGGAUAACAGGAGGAGCAUGAAGGAAAAAGUGGGAGUCUUCAGAGUGAUCGACGCCAAAGAGUCAUCAGAGAUCACACUGACCUGAGGGCCGUUCGACGUCCAGGCCGCUGCCACCUUGACGAAGACCACCACGACAUUCUCAGAUGAUCUGGAAGCUGCUGUUUCGUUCUGUUGAGUUGCUAAGGUACCUGCUUCCCCACCGUCAAUAAUGAGCCACAUGGUAACCAGAUGCUGCAGGGUCAGAGGCCAGAGGGCGUGUCCCUUGGAUCAGAAUGAUGCCAACGAUUCAGUCUGGUGGUUCAG